GCGGCUAUGGCUCAGUGGUAGAGAGCAGCAGUCUCGUAACCAGGAGGUCCUGGGUUCAAGACCAAGUUGAAGCG
rnacentral:tRNA from 1 species